rnacentral:sRNA from 1 species
ACAAAGAACUCUGCGAACCUUGUUAUCUUGCCAAAGCAAAGAUCCAAAUAUCUCACUAUCCCCAUAUACAAUCUCAACUACCCUUUGAACAUCUCCAUGCAGAUAUUUUGCAAGGACCGUCCUACUAUUACAACAGAGAAAGAUGGCUCAUACAUUUUGUAUGUGAUUAUCUUCGUUUCCACAUUGCAAUCGCAGCCAUUCGAAAAUCCGAUAUAAGGAAAGCUUACAACAAAAUAAGGUAUAAAAACACAACAUCUUGGACAGGAGGAAUUCAACCUUCUCAUAUAUCUCUUUUAUCUAUUCUUUUUCAUUUUAAUCAUCAUUUCCUCUAUAUUAUUUCCUAUUCUGGUAAUUUAUCCAGCUUCAUUACUGAUGUUAUUCUGCUGAAGGGGGUAUGUCAGAACUAAUGUCUCAUAUCAAGGAUCUUGUAACAUCUCGCUAUUUGACACUUGCAAUGUCUCACUAUAUGAAACCGAGCAAUGCCC